ensembl:lncRNA
GGGUGUGUAUUUGGGCCCCGAUGGGUUCUAGGUCCCAGUUCUGUCCUGCUGUGCUAACUUCCGUUCAAAGUGAAUGUUUUUUUGUUUUUGUUUUUUUUUUGCCCCCACUGGAUGUAAACACCGAGAGAAGAAAGUAUUCGUGGAGGAUCUAGUUACCCAACCAGAGACUGAACCCAGGUCCCCUGCGUUGGGAGCGCUGAGUCUUAGCCGCUAGACCACCAGACGAACUGUGAAGAGGAGGGCUGGUGUCCGAAUGUGUGCCAGUGAGGUCUGGAUCUCAGAGAGGAGGAAAUUCCUUAGACGCUCCAUUUCAGCACCCAAGGAAGCGAAGACAGCUCUCGAGAGUACACUAUAAGAAGCAGCCACUGUUCCUCCAGCUAAAACAAACAGCAUCCAAGGCAGACCCCACUGCCCAGCUGAGAUCUAGACCUUGUUGGAGCAGGCAUGCCAGUGACAGGGAUGUCCCUGGGGUGCUGUACCCAGGGAACGUGCUGGAAACCUUCCCUCCGGUACUUCCCUGAAAUCCGUUCUCUAGGGUGCCAGAGAAAGCUGUUCCCUGGGAGGUAUCUCCCCAGAGACCAGAGGGGAGUUCUACAAUUAUAUUGCCCGAGGCAAGGGGGCAGUGAGGAGUGAUGUCAGGAAAGCUGCUGGCGACCCACUGCCUCUGCAGACUCGCAUCACCAGCACCAUUGUGUAGGAAACAGGAAACUUGGAAA